rnacentral:rRNA from 1 species
UACGGAGGGUGCAAACGUUGCUCGGAAUCAUUGGGCGUAAAGCGCACGUAGGCGGCCUAUUAAGUCGGGUGUGAAAUCCCUCGGCUCAACCGUGGAAGUGCAUCCGAAACUGCGAGGCUCGAGUAUGGAAGAGGGUCGCAGAAUUCCCGGUGUAGAGGUGAAAUUCGUAGAUAUCGGGAGGAAUACCAGUGGCGAAGGCGGCGACCUGGGCCAAUACUGACGCUGAGGUGCGAAAGCGUGGGGAGCAAACAGG